rnacentral:lncRNA from 10 species
GAUUAUGUUUCACCAUGAGGUUUAGAGGGGACACAGAUCCAGACCAUAUCAUCGCCCCAGGGAUUCCGACUCCCCAAGUCUGGAGUGGGGCCUAAGGCUCUGUAUUUCUAACAAGCUCCCUGUUGAGCCCAAGCUGCUGCUGUUCCUAGGCACCGCUGACCAACACAACACGCUCGUUCAACCCCCUCAAGGUGCUCUGAAGAUUCCUCGAAAAUACAUCUGAGAAAUUCUUUUGACAUCCCGGAUUAUUCUCCAGCCUACUUAGUUAUAAAUGAGUCUGCGUGUGUCUCAGUCUGUGCUGAUAAGACGGAUGGAGUCCUCCUUUCCUUACAGUAACGGUCUCACUCUGUUGCUCACUGACGCUGGUCUUGAUCUUCUGGGCUCAAGCAGUCUUCUCACCUCAGCCUCCCAAAGUGCUGGGAUCACAGACGUGAGCUACCGAUCCCAGCUACCAUUGUUCUUAAUCAAUGGUAUCAAUGUUUUUUUAAAUGGAGGAAGAGGUAACAUUUGCCAGUUAUAUCUUUGUUGAAUGCACGGGCUCUGAGGAUUAGACACCAGGCAUUGUGCUAAACACAUCGUAUCCGCUGUCACUGGAUCGCCACCAUGACUCUCAGAAGAAGAAGGGAUGCUCAUUCCACCCACUGAGAUGGCUUUCAAAUCGACAGUAGAAUCCAGCACAUAUUCUGUCUUUGGAAAAUUGCUCCAGGUGUAUCCUCAGAACAAUCCAGCCCCGUCGUCACUUUCCACAGCCACUGCUUGGCACCUGCGGUAGCUCUGAGAGGCUCCGUUAUGCGUGUGGCAUCAGCCUUUUUUUCUAGCAGCCUUGGGUUGGAGUAUACAGGCAAAAUCCGGGCUCACUGCAACCUCCGCCUCCCGAGUUCAAGCGCUUCUUGGGCCUCAGCCCUCCGAGUAGCUGAGACUACAGGCACGUGUCACCACACCCGGCUAAUUGUUUGUGUUUUCAGUAGAGACGGGAUUUCACCAUGUUGGCCAGGCGGGUCUCGAACUCUGGGCCUCAAGUGAUCCAUGUGACUCGGCCUCCCACGGUGCUGGGAUUACAGGCCUGAGCCACCAAACCUGGCCAAGAUUUUCUGUUUUGUUCCUACAUAGAAGUGAGGAUAUGAAAUAUUUGUCAUUCUGUGCCUGGCUUAUUUCAUUUAAUAUACAGACCUGCAAUCGCAUCCA